UGAUGACGAGGCACUACGGUGCUGAAGCGACAAAUGCCCUGCUUCCAGGAAAAGCCUCUAAGCAUCAGGUAACAUCAAAUCGUACCCCAAACCGACACAGGUGGUCAGGUAGAGAAUACCAAGGCGCUUGAGAGAACUCGGGUGAAGGAACUAGGCAAAAUGGUGCCGUAACUUCGGGAGAAGGCACGCUGAUAUGUAGGUGAAGCGACUUGCUCGUGGAGCUGAAAUCAGUCGAAGAUACCAGCUGGCUGCAACUGUUUAUUAAAAACACAGCACUGUGCAAACACGAAAGUGGACGUAUACGGUGUGACGCCUGCCCGGUGCCGGAAGGUUAAUUGAUGGGGUUAGCGGUAACGCGAAGCUCUUGAUCGAAGCCCCGGUAAACGGCGGCCGUAACUAUAACGGUCCUAAGGUAGCGAAAUUCCUUGUCGGGUAAGUUCCGACCUGCACGAAUGGCGUAAUGAUGGCCAGGCUGUCUCCACCCGAGACUCAGUGAAAUUGAACUCGCUGUGAAGAUGCAGUGUACCCGCGGCAAGACGGAAAGACCCCGUGAACCUUUACUAUAGCUUGACACUGAACAUUGAGCCUUGAUGUGUAGGAUAGGUGGGAGGCUUUGAAGUGUGGACGCCAGUCUGCAUGGAGCCGACCUUGAAAUACCACCCUUUAAUGUUUGAUGUUCUAACGUGGGCCCCUUACCGGGGUUGCGGACAGUGUCUGGUGGGUAGUUUGACUGGGGCGGUCUCCUCCUAAAGAGUAACGGAGGAGCACGAAGGUUGGCUAAUCCUGGUCGGACAUCAGGAGGUUAGUGCAAUGGCAUAAGCCAGCUUGACUGCGAGCGUGACGGCGCGAGCAGGUGCGAAAGCAGGUCAUAGUGAUCCGGUGGUUCUGAAUGGAAGGGCCAUCGCUCAACGGAUAAAAGGUACUCCGGGGAUAACAGGCUGAUACCGCCCAAGAGUUCAUAUCGACGGCGGUGUUUGGCACCUCGAUGUCGGCUCAUCACAUCCUGGGGCUGAAGUAGGUCCCAAGGGUAUGGCUGUUCGCCAUUUAAAGUGGUACGCGAGCUGGGUUUAGAACGUCGUGAGACAGUUCGGUCCCUAUCUGCCGUGGGCGCUGGAGAACUGAGGGGGGCUGCUCCUAGUACGAGAGGACCGGAGUGGACGCAUCACUGGUGUUCGGGUUGUCAUGCCAAUGGCACUGCCCGGUAGCUAAAUGCGGAAGAGAUAAGUGCUGAAAGCAUCUAAGCACGAAACUUGCCCCGAGAUGAGUUCUCCCUGACUCCUUGAGAGUCCUGAAGGAACGUUGAAGACGACGACGUUGAUAGGCCGGGUGUGUAAGCGCAGCGAUGCGUUGAGCUAACCGGUACUAAUGAACCGUGAGGCUUAACC
rnacentral:rRNA from 2 species